UUGGCGUUAGGGUUAAAAUAACUGUCCAAUAUUUUUUAAGGAACAUGUUUCAGACCUUUGGGAGUUAGUUAGACAAAAAAAUAAGAAAAAGAAAAAAAAAAUAUUUGGGGUGUUCGGGUUUCCUGAAGGUAAUACCCGGGUAUUAGGUUAUGGGGCUAGGGUAAGGUUUAAGGUUUUUGGCGUUAGAGUUAAAAUCAGUGUCCAAAACCUUUUUAGGAACAUGUUUAAGACCUUUUGGAGUUGGUUACACCAAAAAAAAAUGUAAAAUGCAAAAACAAAAUAUUUGGGGUUUUUGGGCUUCCUGAAGGUAAUACCCCGGUAUUAGGUUUUGGGGCUAGGGUUAGGUUUAAGGUAUUUGGCGUUAGAGUCAAAAUCACUGUCCAAAACCUUUUUAGGAACAUGUUUCAGACCUUUUGGAGUUGGUUACACCAAAAAAAUUUAAAAUGAAAAAAAAUUUUUUUUGGGUGUUCGGGCUUCCUGACGGUAAUACUAGGUUUCUGGGCUAGGGUAAUGUUUAAGGUUUUUGGCGUUAGGGUUAAAAUCAAUGUCCAAAACCUUUGUAGGAACUCUUUUCCAACCUUUGAGAGCAAGUUAGACCAAAACAAAAAGAAAAAAAUAUAUAUAUAUUUGGGGUGUUCGGGCUUCCUGAAGGUAAUACCCGGGUAUUAGGUUAUGGGGCUAGGGUAAGGUUAAAGGUUUUUGGAGUUAGAGUUAAAAUCAGUGUCCAAAAACUUUUUAGGAACAUGUUUAAGACCUUUUGGAGUUGGUUACACCAAAAAAAAAUGUAAAAUGAAAAAAAAAAAAUUGGGGUGUUCGGGCUUCCUGAAGGUAAUACCCGGGUAUGAGGUUAUGGGGCUAGGGUAAGGUUUAAGGUUUUUGGCGUUAGGGUUAAAAUCACUGUCCAAAACCUUUUUAGGAACAUGUUUCAGACCUUUUGGAGUUGGUAACACCAAAAAUAAAUGUAAAAUGAAAAAAAAUAUAUUUUGGGUGUUCGGGCUUCCUGAAGGUAAUACCCUUCAGGUUUAAGUAUUAGGUUAUGGGGCUAGGAUUAGGUUUAAGGUUUUUGGCGUAAGGGUUAAAAUCACUGUCCAAUAUUUUUUAAGGAACAUGUUUCAGACCUUUUGGAGCUAGUUUGACCAAAAAAAAAAAGAAAAAGAAAAAAUAUAUAUUUGGGGUGUUCGGGCUUCCUGAAGGUAAUACCCGGGUAUUAGGUUAUGGGGCUAGGGUAAGGUUUAAGGUUUUUGGCGUUAGAGUUAAAAUCAGUGUCCAAAACCUUUUUAGGAACAUGUUUAAGACCUUUUGGAGUUGGUUACACCAAAAAAAAAUGUAAAAUGCAAAAACAAAAUAUUUGGGGUUUUUGGGCUUCCUGAAGGUAAUACCCCGGUAUUAGGUUUUGGGGCUAGGGUUAGGUUUAAGGUAUUUGGCGUUAGAGUCAAAAUCACUGUCCAAAACCUUUUUAGGAACAUGUUUCAGACCUUUUGGAGUUGGUUACACCAAAAAAAUUUAAAAUGAAAAAAAAUUUUUUUUGGGUGUUCGGGCUUCCUGACGGUAAUACUAGGUUUCUGGGCUAGGGUAAUGUUUAAGGUUUUUGGCGUUAGGGUUAAAAUCACUGUCCAAAACCUUUGUAGGAAGUCUUUUCCAACCUUUUGGAGUUAGUUAGACAAAAAAAAAAGAUAAAUGAAAAAAAAAUAUUUGGGGUGUUCGGGCUUCCUGAAGGUAAUACCCGGGUAUUAGGUUUUGGGGCUAGGGUUAGGUUUAAGGUUUUUGGCGUUAGGGUUAAAAUAACUGUCCAAUAUUUUUUAAGGAACAUGUUUCAGACCUUUUGGGAGUUAGUUAGACAAAAAAAUAAGAAAAAGAAAAAAAAAAUAUUUGGGGUGUUCGGGUUUCCUGAAGGUAAUACCCGGGUAUUAGGUUAUGGGGCUAGGGUAAGGUUUAAGGUUUUUGGCGUUAGAGUUAAAAUCAGUGUCCAAAACCUUUUUAGGAACAUGUUUAAGACCUUUUGGAGUUGGUUACACCAAAAAAAAAUGUAAAAUGCAAAAACAAAAUAUUUGGGGUUUUUGGGCUUCCUGAAGGUAAUACCCCGGUAUUAGGUUUUGGGGCUAGGGUUAGGUUUAAGGUUUUUGGCGUUAGAGUCAAAAUCACUGUCCAAAACCUUUUUAGGAACAUGUUUCAGACCUUUUGGAGUUGGUUACACCAAAAAAAUUUAAAAUGAAAAAAAAUUUUUUUUGGGUGUUCGGGCUUCCUGACGGUAAUACUAGGUUUCUGGGCUAGGGUAAUGUUUAAGGUUUUUGGCGUUAGGGUUAAAAUCAAUGUCCAAAACCUUUGUAGGAACUCUUUUCCAACCUUUGAGAGCAAGUUAGACCAAAAAAAAAAAGAAAAAAAUAUAUAUAUAUUUGGGGUGUUCGGGCUUCCUGAAGGUAAUACCCGGGUAUUAGGUUAUGGGGCUAGGGUAAGGUUUAAGGUUUUUGGCGUUAGAGUUAAAAUCAGUGUCCAAAACCUUUUUAGGAACAUGUUUAAGACCUUUUGGAGUUGGUUACACCAAAAAAAAUGUAAAAUGAAAAAAAAAAAAUUGGGGUGUUCGGGCUUCCUGAAGGUAAUACCCGGGUAUGAGGUUAUGGGGCUAGGGUAAGGUUUAAGGUUUUUGGCGUUAGGGUUAAAAUCACUGUCCAAAACCUUUUUAGGAACAUGUUUCAGACCUUUUGGAGUUGGUAACACCAAAAAUAAAUGUAAAAUGAAAAAAAUAUAUAUUUUGGGUGUUCGGGCUUCCUGAAGGUAAUACCCUUCAGGUUUAAGUAUUAGGUUAUGGGGCUAGGAUUAGGUUUAAGGUUUUUGGCGUAAGGGUUAAAAUCACUGUCCAAUAUUUUUUAAGGAACAUGUUUCAGACCUUUUGGAGCUAGUUUGACCAAAAAAAAAAAGAAAAAGAAAAAAUAUAUAUUUGGGGUGUUCGGGCUUCCUGAAGGUAAUACCCGGGUAUUAGGUUAUGGGGCUAGGGUAAGGUUUAAGGUUUUUGGCGUUAGAGUUAAAAUCAGUGUCCAAAACCUUUUUAGGAACAUGUUUAAGACCUUUUGGAGUUGGUUACACCAAAAAAAAAUGUAAAAUGCAAAAACAAAAUAUUUGGGGUUUUUGGGCUUCCUGAAGGUAAUACCCCGGUAUUAGGUUUUGGGGCUAGGGUUAGGUUUAAGGUAUUUGGCGUUAGAGUCAAAAUCACUGUCCAAAACCUUUUUAGGAACAUGUUUCAGACCUUUUGGAGUUGGUUACAACAAAAAAUUUAAAAUGAAAAAAAAUUUUUUUUGGGGUGUUCGGGCUUCCUGACGGUAAUACUAGGUUUCUGGGCUAGGGUAAUGUUUAAGGUUUUUGGCGUUAGGGUUAAAAUCAAUGUCCAAAACCUUUGUAGGAACUCUUUUCCAACCUUUGAGAGCAAGUUAGACCAAAACAAAAAGAAAAAAAUAUAUAUAUAUUUGGGGUGUUCGGGCUUCCUGAAGGUAAUACCCGGGUAUUAGGUUAUGGGGCUAGGGUAAGGUUUAAGGUUUUUGGCGUUAGGGUUAAAAUCACUGUCCAAAACCUUUGUAGGAACAUCUUUUCAGACCUUUUGGAGUUAGUUAGACAAAAAAAAAAGAUAAAUGAAAAAAAAAAUAUUUGGGGUGUUCGGGCUUCCUGAAGGUAAUACCCGGGUAAGGUUUAAGGUUUUUGGCGUAAGGGUUAAAAUCACUGUCCAAAACCUUUUUAGGACCAUGUUUCAGACCUUUUGGAGUUGGUUACACCAAAAAAAAAAAAGAAAAAGAAAUAAAAAAAAAAUUGGGGUUUUUGGGCUUCCUGAAGGUAAUACCCGGGUAUUAGGUUUUGGGGCUAGGGUUAGGUUUAAGGUAUUUGGCGUUAGGGUUAAAAUCACUGUCCAAAACCUUUUUAGGAACAUGUUUCAGACCUUUUGGAGUUGGUUACACCAAAAAAAAAUGUAAAAUGAAAAAAAAAUAUUUGGGGUGUUCAAGCUUCCUGAAGUUAAUACCCGGGUAUUAGGUUAUGGGGCUAGGGUAAGGUUAAAGGUUUUUGGAGUUAGAGUUAAAAUCAGUGUCCAAAACCUUUUUAGGAACAUGUUUAAGACCUUUUGGAGUUGGUUACACCAAAAAAAAAAUGUAAAAUGAAAAAAAAAAAUUGGGGUGUUCGGGCUUCCUGAAGGUAAUACCCGGGUAUUAGGUUUUGGGGCUAGGGUAAGGUUUAAGGUUUUUGGUGUUAGGGUUAAAAUCACUGUCCAAAACCUUUGUAGGAACUCUUUUCUGGCCUUUUGGAGUUAGUUAGACCAAAAAAAAAGAAAAAAGAAAAAAAUAUAAUUGGGGUGUUCGGGCUUCCUGAAGGUAAUACCCGGGUAUGAGGUUAUGGGGCUAGGGUAAGGUUUAAGGUUUUUGGCGUUAGGUUUAAAAUCACUGUCCAAAACCUUUUUAGGAACAUGUUUCAGACCUUUUGGAGUUGUUAACACCAAAAAUAAAUGUAAAAUGAAAAAAAAAUAUAUGGGGUGUUCGGGUUCCCUGAAGGUAAUACCCGGGUAUUAGGUUUUGGGGCUAGGGUAAGGUUUAAGGUUUUUGACGUUAGGGUUAAAAUCACUGUCCAAAACCUUUUAAGGAACAAGAUUCAGACCUUUUGGAGUUGGUUACACCAAAAAAAAUGUAAAAUGAAAAAAAAUAUAUUUUGGGUGUUCGGGCUUCCUGAAGGUAAUACCCUUCAGGUUUAAGUAUUAGGUUAUGGGGCUAGGAUUAGGUUUAAGGUUUUUGGCGUAAGGGUUAAAAUCACUGUCCAAUAUUUUUUAAGGAACAUGUUUCAGACCUUUUGGAGCUAGUUUGACCAAAAAAAAAAAGAAAAAGAAAAAAUAUAUAUUUGGGGUGUUCGGGCUUCCUGAAGGUAAUACCCGGGUAUUAGGUUAUGGGGCUAGGUUAAGGUUUAAGGUUUUUGGCAUGAGGGUUAAAAUCAAUGUCCAAAACCUUUGUAGGAAGUCUUUUCCAACCUUUUGGAGUUAGUUAGACAAAAAAAAAAGAUGAAUGAAAAAAAAAUAUUUGGGGUGUUCGGGCUUCCUGAAGGUAAUACCCGGGUAUUAGGGUAUGGGGCUAGGGUAAGGUUUAAGGUUUUUGGCGUUAGGGUUAAAAUCACUGUCCAAAACCUUUUUAGGAACAUGUUUCAGACCUUUUGGAGUUGGUUACACCAAAAAAAAUGUAAAAUGAAAAAAAAAAAUAUUUGGGGUGUUCGGGCUUCCUGAAGGUAAUAGGUUUUGGGGCUAGGGUAAGGUUUAAGGUUUUUGACGUUAGGGUUAAAAUCACUGUCCAAAACCUUUUAAGGAACAAGAUUCAGACCUUUUGGAGUUGGUUACACCAAAAAAAAAUGUAAAAUGCAAAAAAAAAAAAUUGGGGGUUUUUGGGCUUCCUGAAGGUAAUACCCGGGUAUUAGGUUUUGGGGCUAGGGUUAGGUUUAAGGUAUUUGGCGUUAGGGUUAAAAUCACUGUCCAAAACCUUUUUAGGAACAUGUUUCAGACCUUUUGGAGUUGGUUACACCAAAAAAAAAUGUAAAAUGAAAAAAAAAUAUUUGGGGUGUUCGGGCUUCCUGAAGGUAAUACCCGGGUAUUAGGUUUUGGGGCUAGGGUAAGGUUUAAGGUUUUUGGUGUUAGGGUUAAAAUCACUGUCCAAAACCUUUGUAGGAACUCUUUUCUGACCUUUUGGAGUUAGUUAGACCAAAAAAAAAGAAAAAAGGAAAAAAUAUAAUUGGGGUGUUCGGGCUUCCUGAAGGUAAUACCCGGGUAUUAGGUUUUGGGGCUAGGGUAAGGUUUAAGGUUUUUGGUGUUAGGGUUAAAAUCACUGUCCAAAACCUUUGUAGGAACUCUUUUCUGACCUUUUGGAGUUAGUUAGACCAAAAAAAAAUAUAUAUAUAUAUAUAAUUGGGGUGUUCGGGCUUCCUGAAGGUAAUACCCGGGUAUGAGGUUAUGGGGCUAGGGUAAGGUUUAAGGUUUUUGGCGUUAGGGUUAAAAUCACUGUCCAAAACCUUUUUAGGAACAUGUUUCAGACCUUUUGGAGUUGGUAACACCAAAAAUAAAUGUAAAAUGAAAAAAAAAUAUAUGGGGUGUUCGGGCUUCCUGAAGGUAAUACCCGGGUAUUAGGUUUUGGGGCUAGGGUAAGGUUUAAGGUUUUUGACGUUAGGGUUAAAAUCACUGUCCAAAACCUUUUAAGGAACAAGAUUCAGACCUUUUGGAGUUGGUUACACCAAAAAAAAUGUAAAAUGAAAAAAAAUAUAUUUUGGGUGUUCGGGCUUCCUGAAGGUAAUACCCUUCAGGUUUAAGUAUUAGGUUAUGGGGCUAGGAUUAGGUUUAAGGUUUUUGGCGUAAGGGUUAAAAUCACUGUCCAAUAUUUUUUAAGGAACAUGUUUCAGACCUUUUGGAGCUAGUUUGACCAAAAAAAAAAAGAAAAAGAAAAAAUAUAUAUUUGGGGUGUUCGGGCUUCCUGAAGGUAAUACCCGGGUAUUAGGUUAUGGGGCUAGGUUAAGGUUUAAGGUUUUUGGCAUGAGGGUUAAAAUCACUGUCCAAAACCUUUGUAGGAAGUCUUUUCCAACCUUUUGGAGUUAGUUAGACAAAAAAAAAAAGAUGAAUGAAAAAAAAAUAUUUGGGGUGUUCGGGCUUCCUGAAGGUAAUACCCGGGUAUUAGGGUAUGGGGCUAGGGUAAGGUUUAAGGUUUUUGGCGUUAGGGUUAAAAUCACUGUCCAAAACCUUUUUAGGAACAUGUUUCAGACCUUUUGGAGUUGGUUACACCAAAAAAAAUGUAAAAUGAAAAAAAAAAAUAUUUGGGGUGUUCGGGCUUCCUGAAGGUAAUACCCUUCAGGUUUAAGUAUUAGGUUAUGGGGCUAGGAUUAGGUUUAAGGUUUUUGGCGUAAGGGUUAAAAUCACUGUCCAAAACCUUUUAAGGAACAUGUUUCAGACCUUUUGGAGCUAGUUUGACCAAAAAAAAAAAAAGAAAAAGAAAAAAUAUAUAUUUGGGGUGUUCGGGCUUCCUGAAGGUAAUACCCGGGUAUUAGGUUAUGGGGCUAGGUUAAGGUUUAAGGUUUUUGGCAUGAGGGUUAAAAUCACUGUCCAAAACCUUUGUAGGAAGUCUUUUCCAUCCUUUUGGAGUUAGUUAGACAAAAAAAAAAGAUAAAUGAAAAAAAAAUAUUUGGGGUGUUCGGGCUUCCUGAAGGUAAUACCCGGGUAAGGUUUAAGGUUUUUGGCGUAAGGGUUAAAAUCACUGUCCAAAACCUUUUUAGGACCAUGUUUCAGACCUUUUGGAGUUGGUUACACCAAAAAAAAAAAAGAAAAAGAAAAAAAAAAUAUUUGGGGUGUUCGGGCUUCCUGAAGGUAAUACCCGGGUAAGGUUUAAGGUUUUUGGCGUGAGGGUUAAAAUCACUGUCCAAAACCUUUGUAGGAAGUCUUUUCCAACCUUUUGGAGUUAGUUAGACCAAAAAAAAAAGAUAAAUGAAAAAAAUAUUUGGGGUGUUCGGGCUUCCUGAAGGUAAUA